UUCACAACAAUGAAACCCUAACUAAGCCAG
rnacentral:piRNA from 1 species